AGCUUUAUGCAGUGGCAGUAUCAUAGGCUAUGAAGAACUGCUGAGGUGUGAUUAUUGCUGACUGAAACCUAGAGACAAAUAAUUCUGCUACUUAGUGGCUCUGGGUUGCAGAAGGAUAAAUUCAUAAAUG